rnacentral:rRNA from 1 species
GACCUCGGAUCAGGUAGGAAUACCCGCUGAACUUAAGCAUAUCAAUAAGCGGAGGAAAAGAAACCAACAGGGAUUGCCCUAGUAACGGCGAGUGAAGCGGCAACAGCUCAAAUUUGAAAUCUGGCCUUGGCCCGAGUUGUAAUUUGGAGAGGAUGCUUUGGGUCCGUCCCCGGUCCAAGUCUCUUGGAACAGGGCGUCGCAGAGGGUGAGAAUCCCGUACGCGGCCGGGUGCCGGCCCCGUGUAAAGCUCCUUCGACGAGUCGAGUUGUUUGGGAAUGCAGCUCUAAAUGGGUGGUAAAUUCCAUCUAAGGCUAAAUAUUGGCGAGAGACCGAUAGAG